UAUUUUCGGGGCGAGGUGCAAUUCCUCACCGGUGGUAAAGUCCACGACCCGCUCAGGCGGCUGAUACGGUGCAAUUCCGUAACCGACGGUUAAAGUCCGGAUGAGAGAAAAUG
rnacentral:ncRNA from 1 species